GUGUUGGACGGUUUGGUGCUGAGCUCUUCAUCACAGCAGGGAGAAGACAAGGACAGAAAACCUCAGAGGAUGAUUUCCUCAUAGUGAGCGUAUCUGUCUUCUGGUUCCCCUGCAGACGCACUUGAAGCCCUGAGAGACAUUCAGUGUGAGUGAUAAAGUUAUCAGUGGUUUGUAGUAAACACUGGGCAGCGUCUCCACGUCUUUCCCCUCGUUGAGACUGAGAGCAGCAAUGAAAAGCAAUGACCGGUCUCCAGUCUACUAUGGAUGAGGAGAGAGAGUAGGGGGGGUCCUACCUCUAAGACCACUCUGUCUGGGGAAUAUGGCACAUCAAAGCUGAGAGCCCAAAGCAGCAGGAGAGAGCAGGCUCCCCUGGACCCAGCUCUGGCAAGAGGAUCAGUGUCGAUUUCAAGAAAAUACAGAAAAUAUUUUUACCAAGAAGAGUCCAGCAGCAGGCAGCAGACCCCCCUGGGCUCAGCUGUGUCUCCUUGUAGAGCGACUGGUCGAUGGAACAACCUGCUAGGUUUGGAGUCGGAAAUCAGUCUAUUGAGCCAAGGACUACUGGUCUCCGGUCUACUAUGGAUGAGGAGAGAGAGGAGGGGCAUCCUACCUUUAAGACCACUCUGUCUGGGGAACAUGGCUGCCAGAGCAAUGCUAAGAGAAGAAUCCAACAGCAGACAGCAGACUCCCCUGGACCCAGUUGUGUCAUUUUGAAGAACGGCUGGUCUAUGGAAAAUUCUGCUAGGUCUGGAGACGGAAAUCAGUCUACUGAGCCAAGUAACAAAAGAUCUAGAAGAGUCCAGCAGCAGACAGCAGAGCCCCAUGGAACCAGUUGUAUCUCCAUGAGGAGUAACAGCUCUACUAUACAACCUGUUGGGUUUGGAGAUGGCAAUGAGUCUACUCAGCCAAGAAGAGUACAGCAGGAGAGAGCAGACUCCUCUGGAGCCAGCUGUGUCUCCAUGAAGAGUGACCGGUGUAUGAAUGAAGCACCUGACCUUAAAGAUGGACGCCCCUCCAGAG
ensembl:lncRNA